UUGCGGCCUCGAUGGCAGCGAUAGCUUAUAUUGAAAAGAAACUUAAAAAAUAAAGACUGGUAGAGCGACUAAAAGAAGCUCCUGCCAGCCUUUAAAUUUUUUGUUUUUUUGAAAUAUAACUAUAAGCGUACAGCGAGAAUUGCC
rnacentral:misc_RNA from 1 species